UACGUAGGGGGCUAGCGUUGUCCGGAAUCAUUGGGCGUAAAGAGCGUGUAGGCGGCCCGGUAAGUCCGCUGUAAAAGUCAAAGGCUCAACCUUUGAAUGUCAGUGGAUACUGCCGGGCUAGAGUCCGGAAGAGGCGAGUGGAACUCCUGGUGUAGCGGUGAAAUGCGCAGAUAUCAGGAGGAACACCAGCGGCGAAGGCGGCGCUCUGGGCCGGUACUGACACUGAGGAGCGAAAGCGUGGGUAGCAAACAGG
rnacentral:rRNA from 1 species